AUUGCGCAAUGGGGGGACCCUGACGCAGCCAUGCCGCGUGAAUGAAGAAGGCCUUCGGGUUGUAAAGUUCUGUCGGUAUUGAGGAAGGUUGAUGUGUUAAUAGCACAUCAAAUUGACGUUAAAUACAGAAGAAGCGCCGGCUAACUCCGUGCCAGCAGCCGCGGUAAUACGGAGGGUGCGAGCGUUAAUCGGAAUAACUGGGCGUAAAGGGCACGCAGGCGGUUAUUUAAGUGAGGUGUGAAAGCCCCCGGGCUUAACCUGGGAAUUGCAUUUCAGACUGGGUAACUAGAGUACUUUAGGGAGGGGUAGAAUUCCACGUGUAGCGGUGAAAUGCGUAGAGAUGUGGAGGAAUACCGAAGGUGAAGGCUAGCCAAUUGGGAAUGUACUGACGCUGAUGUGCGAAAGCGUGGGGAGCAAACAGGAUUAGAUAUCAUGGUAGUCCACGCUGUAUACGCUGUCGAUUUGGGGGUUGGGGUUUAACUCUGGCGCCCGUAGCUAACGUGAUAAAUCGAC
rnacentral:rRNA from 1 species